rnacentral:rRNA from 1 species
UACGUAGGGUGCGAGCGUUGUCCGGAAUUAUUGGGCGUAAAGAGCUCGUAGGCGGUGUGUCACGUCGUUCGUGAAAACCUGCAGCUUAACUGUGGGCGUGCGGUCGAUACGGGCAUCACUGGAGUUCGGCAGGGGAGACUGGAAUUCCUGGUGUAGCGGUGAAAUGCGCAGAUAUCAGGAGGAACACCGGUGGCGAAGGCGGGUCUCUGGGCCGAAACUGACGCUGAGACGCGAAAGCGUGGGGAGCAAACAGG